CCUACGGGUGGCAGCAGUGAGGAAUAUUGGUCAAUGGACGAGAGUCUGAACCAGCCAAGUAGCGUGAAGGAUGACUGCCCUAUGGGUUGUAAACUUCUUUUAUAUGGGGAUAAAACGUUCCACGGGUGGGUUUUUGUAUGUACCAUAUGAAUAAGGAUCGGCUAACUCCGUGCCAGCAGCCGCGGUAAUCCGGAGGAUCCGAGCGUUAUCCGGAUUUAUUGGGUUUAAAGGGAGCGUAGGUGGAUUGUUAAGUCAGUUGUGAAAUUUUGCGGUUGAACCGUGAAAUUGCAGUUGAAACUGGCAGUCGUGAGUACAGUAGAGGUGGGCGGAAUGCGUGGUGUAGCGGUGAAAUGCUUAGAUAUCACGAAGAACUCCGAUUGCGAAGGCAGUUCACUGGACUGCAACUGACACUGAGGCUCGAAAGUGUGGGUAUCAAACAGGAUUAGAUACCCUAGUAGUC
rnacentral:rRNA from 1 species